UACGGAGGGUGCAAGCGUUAUCCGGAUUUACUGGGUUUAAAGGGUGCGUAGGUGGGUCUGUAAGUCAGUGGUGAAAUCUUCAAGCUUAACUUGGAAACUGCCAUUGAUACUAUAGGUCUUGAAUUAUCUGGAGGUAAGCGGAAUAUGUCAUGUAGCGGUGAAAUGCUUAGAUAUGACAUAGAACACCCAUUGCGAAGGCAGCUAACUACGCGAUCAUUGACGCUGAUGCACGAAAGCGUGGGGAUCAAACAGG
rnacentral:rRNA from 1 species